AAGAGUCUGCGUAACUGAGGACAGGCACUGUCUUCUCCACAUACACCCAGCGCCAAGAACAGUGCCAUGUACAUGGCCAACAAUGACGACCAAAGGCCGGCCAGCAGACGGGCGGAUGCGGAACCUGUGCAUCGACUUCUCAAGAUUCCACAAAUAAGCGAUAUACGCUACGUGUCUUGCUCUGUCCGACCUCCUUCACUUAGUAGGAGCAUCUCUAGCGGGAGCAAGCUGACUAGAGAAAUGCCCUUUUGUCUAUUCAGUUAAUGAAACUGUCUGCUCAUGAGUUAGAACCCCAGCUCCUCGAAGGAAGGGUCCUGUUCGUCAUCUUUGUCCCUGAUACACACUCCCCAGGGACCCCCAAUGCACGUCUGUGGGUGAGCUUGGUGCUCUGGACUCCGAAGCAAACAGCUGGGGCUGUGCCACCAGCCCAUCUUCAGAGGGGCCGCCCAAGGGCCGCGCUGCUGUCCAGGCGGUUCCUGCAUCAGGGAGGCCUCGAGGGCCGGCGUCUGCAGCUGGAACGGCCUUCUCAUCCCUGCGGUUCCCCGGGUCACAGCUUGGCCCGGCUCCAGUGUAGCUGUCGAGGGCGCGCCUGGGCAGCUAGGCCAGCGUGAGUUAAAAUCCCAGCUCUGCUCCCAGCCUUGGGAAACCCACGCAGCCUCUGAGCUCAGCACCCUCAUCUGCGAAGUGGGGCGACUGUGUCACCCCCACGAGGUGGUGUGAAGUGACUCCUGGAUAUGAGGGCGAAUGUGCCUGAGCUGAGAAUUGAGGACUCACUGGCCUUUGCUUCAGGGAAGAUCUCAUUUGGAGGCU